CUCAUAAAGGACUUUUGUUUAAACUUUUUAUUAUUUUAAAAUACAGAGAGGGGGAAAAAAUUGCUAUAUCCCCAAAUGAAAAGAAUUUGAAAUAGUGCCUUUGUGUAUGAACUUCUAGGUGAUGAUAUCAAUUUUCCCUUUGCGGGAAGAGACGCCAUACUUAUUUUUCAUCAAGAGGAAUGGUUACCAGGCCACAGGAGUGAGGUGCUGGCCGCAAGACCUGGGAGGUAUGAGCAGAUCCGAGGCCGGGGCUCUGUUCGAAGAGCUUUGCUUGUUUCUUGUUUUCCAGACCGCAUGGCCUGUCAUUCCGAAGAGCAUUUGUGGACGUGCUCUGUUUUAAUGCCUCACCGUCUGUAAAGAAUGAGCUCAGUUCCCAGUGAAAUUUUCCAGGUUCAUAUUUCGGAAGUGUCAGGGGGGUCUCACACCAGGUUGCUAAGCUACCCAGGCUGGGAUUGAAAUUGUGAUCUUCUUGCCUGAGCCUCCCAAACUUUUUUUUAGAUCUUGAAGCAAAAACUCUUGCAGUCCUUAAAAAUUAGGAUGUAGUUGGACUUGCUGAUGUUAAGAAGAUUUUUAAGAGCCAGGGAUUUAGCUCAGUGGCACUGUGCCUGCCUUGAAAACACAACAUCCUGAAUUCAAUCUCUAGUAUCAGAAAAAAAAGGUUUUUAAUAUGUCAGUAUCUUCUACAUGCCAGGCGCUGCAGUAAGGACUUGAAAUGAUAUAUGAAGCAGGUAUUAUUACUGCCAUUAUGCAAAUGAGGAUGGAGCUCCGAGAGUUUCAGUCACUGGCAUUGCACAGCUGAGACCCAGACUCGGUCUGACUCUGAACUCUGCUUUUGUGGUCUUUAUCACUCUCCUGUAGACAUCUUGUCUGUCAUUAGGAUGAAAAGGCUUGUGAGU
rnacentral:lncRNA from 1 species